rnacentral:rRNA from 2 species
UGGGGAAUCUUCCGCAAUGGACGAAAGUCUGACGGAGCAACGCCGCGUGAACGAUGACGGCCUUCGGGUUGUAAAGUUCUGUUAUACGGGACGAAUGGCGUAGCGGUCAAUACCCGUUACGAGUGACGGUACCGUAAGAGAAAGCCACGGCUAACUACGUGCCAGCAGCCGCGGUAAUACGUAGGUGGCAAGCGUUGUCCGGAAUUAUUGGGCGUAAAGGGCGCGCAGGCGGCGUCGUAAGUCGGUCUUAAAAGUGCGGGGCUUAACCCCGUGAGGGGACCGAAACUGCGAUGCUAGAGUAUCGGAGAGGAAAGCGGAAUUCCUAGUGUAGCGGUGAAAUGCGUAGAUAUUAGGAGGAACACCAGUGGCGAAAGCGGCUUUCUGGACGACAACUGACGCUGAGGCGCGAAAGCCAGGGGAGCAAACGGG